UAGGGAAUCUUCCACAAUGGACGCAAGUCUGAUGGAGCAACGCCGCGUGAGUGAAGAAGGUUUUCGGAUCGUAAAGCCCUGUUGUUGGUGAAGAAGGAUAGAGGCAGUAACUGGUCUUUAUUUGACGGUAAUCAACCAGAAAGUCACGGCUAACUACGUGCCAGCAGCCGCGGUAAUACGUAGGUGGCAAGCGUUGUCCGGAUUUAUUGGGCGUAAAGCGAGCGCAGGCGGAAUGAUAAGUCUGAUGUGAAAGCCCACGGCUCAACCGUGGAACUGCAUCGGAAACUGUCAUUCUUGAGUGCAGAAGAGGAGAGUGGAAUUCCAUGUGUAGCGGUGGAAUGCGUAGAUAUAUGGAAGAACACCAGUGGCGAAGGCGGCUCUCUGGUCUGCAACUGACGCUGAGGCUCGAAAGCAUGGGUAGCGAACAGG
rnacentral:rRNA from 1 species